UACAGAGGUCUCAAGCGUUGUUCGGAUUCAUUGGGCGUAAAGGGUGCGUAGGCGGCGCGGUAAGUCGGGUGUGAAAUCUUGGAGCUUAACUCCGAAACUGCAUUCGAUACUGCCGUGCUUGAGGACUGGAGAGGAGACUGGAAUUUACGGUGUAGCGGUGAAAUGCGUAGAUAUCGUAAGGAACACCAGUGGCGAAGGCGGCUCUCUGGACAAUUCCUGACGCUGAAGCACGAAAGCCAGGGGAGCAAACAGG
rnacentral:rRNA from 1 species